AUCGCUUCUCGGCCUUUUGGCUAACACACGCGAGACAGAUAUCUGUUCUUAUCAGUUUAAUAUCUGAUACGUCCUCUACCCGAGGACCAUAUAUUAAAUGGAUUUUUAGGCCUGGGAGUCGGAAGAGGGGCUUGCUCCGUCCACUCCACGCAUCGACCAGGUAUUGCAUUGCCUCCUGUCACGGUGCACCCUCA